AUUGAACGCUGGCGGCAGGCCUAACACAUGCAAGUCGAGCGGAUGAAGGGAGCUUGCUCCUGGAUUCAGCGGCGGACGGGUGAGUAAUGCCUAGGAAUCUGCCUGUUAGUGGGGGAUAACGUCCGGACACGGGCGCUAAUACCGCAUACGUCCUGAGGGAGAAAGUGGGGGAUCUUCGGACCUCACGCUAUCAGAUGAGCCUAGGUCGGAUUAGCUAGUUGGUGGGGUAAAGGCCUACCAAGGCGACGAUCCGUAACUGGUCUGAGAGGAUGAUCAGUCACACUGGAACUGAGACACGGUCCAGACUCCUACGGGAGGCAGCAGUGGGGAAUAUUGGACAAUGGGCGAAAGCCUGAUCCAGCCAUGCCGCGUGUGUGAAGAAGGUCUUCGGAUUGUAAAGCACUUUAAGUUGGGAGGAAGGGCAGUAAGUUAAUACCUUGCUGUUUUGACGUUACCAACAGAAUAAGCACCGGCUAACUUCGUG
rnacentral:rRNA from 1 species